CAGAUGAGGGUAAACGAGGAAGUUUAGACUGGAAGAAACGAUGGGAUAUCAUUGGAGGAAUCGCGAGGGGAUUGCUUUACUUGCAUAGAGACUCAAGACUAAAAAUCAUUCACCGUGACCUAAAAGCUAGCAAUAUCUUGCUGAGGACAAAACUAAUUUUCAAAAAAAAGUAGGUUAGUUUUGUGUUUGACUUUAAGUUGUAGGUCAAUUCUGCAAAAAGCGAUUGUAAAAGGAUUUUCAGAUUGAAUUAUAAUUAUUAUUUAUAAUUAGACUAAAUUAAUAUCAACUAAUAGAAAUAUUACUGUAUAUUAAUACUUUGAAAAGGAAAAUAAUUUUUUUAAUAGAUGAUAGUAUGGUACUAGAUACUAGAAAGACUCGAAAAAGAAAAAUAGAUUGUGGAAUAAUAAAUCUUGGAUUUUUCACAACGACCAAACCAAAGAAGUCGCAUCUUCAAUAAGAAAAAAAUUGAUUGACACAAACAUUUCUGGCCUUGCAAGUCACAGUUCUCCAUUAAAAGUCUAAAUAAAAACGUGAAAAAUUCAUAAUGUUGUCAUUCGUCAACAGUCAAACACGAUACGCUGGUUGUCCUUUUACAGUCGUUGGUACUGUAUUUUGUUUGGAUUAAUACAAUUCGUUUCUAGAAUAUAAAUACAUAUAUAUAUUCAUGACUUAAUCUCUUUAUAUACGAAAACAAAUACAAGUCGCUAAUUUUGGAAAGUCCAAUUAGUAUAGUCUUCCUGAAAAAUCAGCAAACUUACAAAAAGAUAUAAAAUUCGACGGCCACUAUUAUUGCUCUUUCCAUUAAUUUCUUUCAUGAUAUAUACAGACAUCUGAGAAUCAAAUCUCAGAUAUGGCAGAGUUUAAAAGAAACCUUACCUUGGUCACGACCCUUUCGAUUUUGCUUCAACUAUGCAGCAUCGUAUCUUGCACCACAAGCACCUCAAUCACCAGAAACAACACCAUACGAGACGGAGACGCACUGAUCAGCGAGGAAGAAGUCUUCGAGCUCGGAUUCUUCAGCCCGAAAGAUUCAACCUUAAGGUAUGUCGGAAUCUGGUACAAGAACAUCGAACCUCAAACAAUUGUCUGGGUAGCAAACCGAGAGAGGCCAUUGUCUGAUCACAACGGAACUCUGAAGCUUGUAGAUGACGGGAACUUGGUGGUCGUAGAUGGACAAAACAACACCGUUUGGUCCACAAACGUGCCGCCCAAGUUGAACAAUACCGUUGCUGUUCUAUUGGAAACAGGGGAUCUGGUUCUGUCUUCAGAUUCAGACAGGGACACUAGGUUUUGGGAGAGCUUUAACAACCCAACUGAUACUUUCUUGCCCGGUAUGAGGGUUAGGGUGAACCCAACAAGCGGAGAGAAUCGCGCUUUUACACCAUGGAUGUCCGAAACUGAUCCUUCACCAGGAAGGUAUUCGUUAGGGAUUGAUCCUAUUGGACCACCAGAGAUUGUGAUUUGGGAAGGAGAAACGAGGAAAUGGCGAAGCGGUCCGUGGGAUUCGGUUAUCUUUACCGGUAUACCGGACAUGUCCCGUGUCACAAACUAUAUUUACGGGUUUAAGCUUUCUUCUCCUCCUGAAAGAGAUGGUAGCGUGUACUUCACGUAUGUUCCGUCAGAUAGCUCUGACUUGCUAAGGUUUCAGAUUACGCUUGAUGGUGUAAUAGAGCAGUUCAGAUGGAACAAAGAUGGCAAGAACUGGACUUUGCUUCUGUUGAAACCGAGCACGGAAUGUGAGAAGUAUAACCGUUGCGGUAAUUACAGCGUAUGUGACGAGAGCAAAGAGUUUGGUUCCGGUAAAUGUAGUUGCAUCGAUGGGUUUGAGCCGGUGAAUCAGAAUCUGUGGGACGAUGGAGAUUUCUCGGGUGGCUGCAAAAGAAGAGUGCCAUUGAACUGUAGCCAGAGUCUGAGAGAAGACGAGUUCAUGGAACUUAGGGGAAUGAAGUUGCCUGAUUUUGGAUCAUUUGUCUCCCUUAGAAGCUCAGAGACUUGUAAAGAUGUAUGCGUCAGGGAUUGCUUGUGUAAUGCUUAUGCGUUUGUUAGAGGGAUCGGAUGCAUGAUUUGGACUAGAGAUUUGAUAGAUAUGGAGCGUUUUCAGCAUGGUGGACAGUCUAUUAACAUCCGGCUAGCGGAAUCUGAACUAGGUCUGUAAAAUGUUUGAGUAGUCAUAAUACAUUUUGAAAGAUUAAACAUAACUGAUCCUAAAAUACUUGGAUUUCUUUUGUUGUGUGAGUAGGUGGGAAGGAAAACUCAAAGCUAUGGAUCAUUAUUUUAAGUGUUAUAGGAGCCUUCUUGCUCGUAUUAUGCAUUUGGAUCUUGUGGAAGUUCAAGAAAAGAGUUAAAGGUAAAGUCUCUAGUCACACACACUGCUUUAAAAAGAGUACGUGCAUAUAUGCUAACUGAUCAAUUAUUUGUUGGUUGUAAGUCAUGUAAUAUUUUUUUCGUUAUUUUUAAUAGAAUAAAUCAGCUUUAAAAAAAACUAAAGUAUCAAUUGUUUAAUAAUAUGCAGCUAUAUUGUGGAGGAAUAAACACCUUCCAGUUUUCGAAGAGAACAAAGACUACUCGGUGAAGUCCUCAAGCUCGACGAGCCAAGUUCUGGUAGGGGGUCUAGUUGACACACCAGAUUUUCCCAUUUUCAGUUUCAACAGCGUUGCCUUAGCAACAGGAAAUUUCGCUGAAGAAAACAAGCUUGGACAGGGCGGAUUUGGUACUGUAUAUAAGGUCAAGCAAUGGAAUAUUACUAGUAGUAAUCUUAUUGAGACUAAUGUUGGUGAUAAAGUUUUAAUCCUUAUCUAACAAUUGUGUUGUGUUUGAACAGGGAAACUUUCCAGGGGACACAGAGAUCGCGGUGAAGAGAUUAUCAGGGAAAUCCAAGCAAGGGCUAGAGGAAUUCAAGAACGAGAUCUUACUGAUUGCAAAACUCCAGCAUCGAAAUCUUGUUAGAUUAGUAGGAUGUUGCAUUGAAAACAAUGAGAAAAUACUUCUCUAUGAAUACAUGCCAAAUAAGAGCUUGGACAGUUUCCUUUUCGGUAUGUUUUCUUCAAAAAAAUUUGGAAGUUUUCUGGAUUGAGUAUAUAACUAGUCCUUUGCGCAGAUGAGGGUAAACGAGGAAGUUUAGACUGGAAGAAACGAUGGGAUAUCAUUGGAGGAAUCACGAGGGGAUUGCUUUACUUGAAUAGAGACUCAAGACUAAAAAUCAUUCACCGUGACCUAAAAGCUAGCAAUAUCUUGCUUGACAAGGAAAUGAAUCCGAAGAUUUCGGAUUUUGGUAUGGCUCGGAUCUUCAACUACCGACAAGAUCAGGCCAACACGAUCCGAGUUGUCGGCACA
rnacentral:lncRNA from 1 species